rnacentral:rRNA from 1 species
CAGCCGCCGCGGGAAAACGGAGGGGGCUAGCGUUGUUCGGAAUUACUGGGCGUAAAGCGUGCGUAGGCGGUGAGUUAAGUCUGCUGUGAAAUCCCCGGGCUCAACCUGGGAAUGGCAGUGGAUACUGGCUCGCUAGAGUGUGUCAGAGGAUGGUGGAAUUCCCGGUGUAGCGGUGAAAUGCGUAGAGAUCGGGAGGAACAUCAGUGGCGAAGGCGGCCAUCUGGGACAACACUGACGCUGAGGCACGAAAGCGUGGGGAGCAAACAGGAUUAGAUACCCCCGUAGUCCCUGUCUCUUAUAC